AGUGAACGCUGGCGGCGUGCCUAAUACAUGCAAGUCGAACGGAGUGGCGCACGGGUGAGUAAUAUAUAGCUAAUCUGCCCCUUGCUGGAGGACAACAGUUAGAAAUGACUGCUAAUACUCCAUAGAAAGGGAUGAGACGAUAUAGUAUCAGCUAGUCGGUGGGGUAACGGCCUACCGAGGCUAUGAUGCGUAACUGGUCUGAGAGGAUGAUCAGACGAAUGGGAAGGGAGACACAGGCGAAACUCCUACGGGAAGCAGCGGUAGGGAGAAGGACGCAAUGGGGGAAUACCUAACGGAGCAAAGGGGCGUGGAGGAUGACAAGUUGCGGAGAAGAAACUCAUUCUGAUAGGGAAGCGGUACCUAACGAAUAAGCACCGGCUAACUCCGUGCCAGCAGCCGCGGUAAUUC
rnacentral:rRNA from 1 species